ACAUACCAUAACCACAGUCAACCCUAAGAUAAAGAUGGCUAAAAUAUGAAAUAAUUGUGGCCCUUCUUAUUAUUAUAUCAAAUAUAAAUUCACAAAAAUUCAAUGGAUGAGGAUGAUAGAACUGGGUUUAACAUGGGCUUCCAACCUAAAACCAAUUGACAAUAGGUGGAGUGGUCCGAACCUUCUAUAUAUCACUUGAUAAUUCCUCCAAUUUUUGAUGUGGAACUUUCUUUCAUUAACAAAGGAUACAAAAGAAAACCUCUCAUAAGCGACAAUAUUAAAUAGGAUUUAGUUAUUUAGCAAAAAAAGUAGAACUUUAGUUAUAGUAUUUU
rnacentral:sRNA from 1 species